UGGAACGUAGCUCAGUUGGUAGAGCAGUAGACUUUUAAUCUAUGGGUCGCAGGUUCGAGCCCUGUCGUUCCAA
rnacentral:tRNA from 1 species